rnacentral:rRNA from 1 species
UACGAAGGGGGCUAGCGUUGCUCGGAAUCACUGGGCGUAAAGGGUGCGUAGGCGGGUCUUUAAGUCAGGGGUGAAAUCCUGGAGCUCAACUCCAGAACUGCCUUUGAUACUGAGGAUCUUGAGUUCGGGAGAGGUGAGUGGAACUGCGAGUGUAGAGGUGAAAUUCGUAGAUAUUCGCAAGAACACCGGUGGCGAAGGCGGCUACCUGGACAGAGUCUGACGCUGAGGCACGAAAGCUAGGGGAGCAAACAGG